UUCACAGAUCAGCGCAGGAGGACGUCAGACACAUAAAGAACAUUAACAGUUUAGGGCAAACGUUUCCCGCGCAAGUUUGAAUCUCUCUCAGUCAGUCAGGGGGAGAUUAACUGACUGACUGUCUACACGCCACCAAACAGUCAGUUAUACAGAAACCUUUUUAAGUUUAGUUUGAAUCUCUCUCAGUCAGUCAGGGGGAGAUUAACUGACAAACUGUAUAACGUUACAGGCCACCAAACAGUCUUACCAAGAAACCUUUUACAGUUUAGCACAAACGUUUCCCGCGCAAGUUUGGAUCUUUACCAUUGAGGGUGGCUGACUGUUUUCGACCAACCAUCAUUCACACGCAAAAACUUUAAAGAUAAGUAUGAACGUGCCCAGAGCAGUUUUCAAUCUUUACCAUUAAGGAGGCUGACUGACUAUCCUCUACCACCCGUCAUUAACAAAACAAAAACUAAAGAAAUGUUACUCCAUAUGGACCUAUUCAUUUACUCAUUAUGCUGUGAGUACACCACAGUUUUAUCAGGGAAAAAAUUUAUAUUUGUGUGUUUCUCACUGCUUGACAAGGACAGAUGUGGCCCUGUUAAAAAUGUUUAAAUGUCGUUUGGUUUAAGGAACAGCACACUGAUUUUGUUUUAAAAUAUUCCUGUUUGGACAGUCUGUUAAAGUCAUAAAGGAAUACUUGAUAUAUUUCAUAAGUAAAGUGUAAAUGUAAUAUUCGUUUUUAAUGUUGUGAAUUUGGACUGAACAGCACACUUCUGUUUUAUAUCUAAACCUUUUGUAAAAUAAAUGAUUGUUCAAUAAACUCACUGUGUAUUUUAUCUUUUCUGUUAUCAUUUUUUUAUACUAAUGUUUAAAAUGUACCUUUACGUUAAAUGAUUGGCUACACCAACACAAAUAUAUUGAGUCAUAUGCACUUAUAAUUUAAAGUUUACAGUACUUAGAUUGAGAUAUAUGUAUAAGUUUUA